CCUACGGGAGGCAGCAGUGGGGAAUAUUGCACAAUGGGGGAAACCCUGAUGCAGCGACGCCGCGUGAGUGAAGAAGUAUUUCGGUAUGUAAAGCUCUAUCAGCAGGGAAGAAGAAAGACGGUACCUGACUAAGAAGCCCCGGCUAACUACGUGCCAGCAGCCGCGGUAAUACGUAGGGGGCAAGCGUUAUCCGGAUUUACUGGGUGUAAAGGGAGCGUAGACGGUUGUGCAAGUCUGAAGUGAAAGCCCAGGGCUCAACCCUGGGACUGCUUUGGAAACUGUGGAGCUAGAGUGCUGGAGAGGUAAGUGGAAUUCCUAGUGUAGCGGUGAAAUGCUUAGAUAUUGCGCAGAACUCCGAUUGCGAAGGCAGCAUACCGGCGGCGAUCUGACGCUGAGGCACGAAAGCGUGGGUAUCGAACAGGAUUAGAUACCCGAGUAGUC
rnacentral:rRNA from 1 species